rnacentral:siRNA from 1 species
AGGUUCAGGUUCAGGUUCAGG